rnacentral:lncRNA from 1 species
GCUGUGGCACAGUCUUGGCUCACUGCAACCUCUGCCUCCCAGGUUCAAGGGAUUCUCCUGCCUUAGCCUCCCGAGUAGCUGGGAUUACAGGCGCCUGCCACCACGCCCGGCUAAUAUUUGUGAUUUUUUUUUUAGUGGAGACGAGGUUUCACUAUGUAGGCGAAGCUGGUCUCGAACUCCUGACCUCAGAUGAUCCACCCGCCUCAGCCUCCCAAAGUGCUGGGAUUACAGGCGUGAGCCACCGCGCCUGGCCUGUUUAUUCUCUUAAGAGAGAAAAUGAGGGGAUUAAUGGACUGUAGUUCUGGACAAGGUGGAAAACUCUUAAAGUGGAAGUAUUGGGGUGGUGGAAAGGAAAUCCCUCACAGCAACUGGCACCAUAAUCAAGACAAUGUUUGCAGAAUAAAUGGAGUUACCUGCUUUCAGCCCCAGGUCGUAGCUAUUGUCUGCCCUGCUGAUAUGUGAUAAUAAUUUGUGAUCCUGUUGUCUUAAAAUGGGGUCACUCAUCUCCAGUAGAAUUAAGUCCACAGUGAAGUUGUCCCCCCAUCCCCAAAGAGAUAAACAUAUAUGAAUGAACUCACGUGAUAACAACUACUGCUGCCUGGGAUCAUGAGAGACCUGAAAUGAACUGAUAGGAAGUGAAAAGUGGCUGAGAUGAUGAGAAUAGACCCAUCNG